GUGGAUUAGAUACCCUAGUAGUCCACGCCCUAAACGAUGAUAACUCGAUGUUGGCGAUAGACAGCCAGCGUCCCAGCGAAAGCGUUAAGUUAUCCACCUGGGGAGUACGCCCGCAAGGGUGAAACUCAAAGGAAUUGACGGGGGCCCGCACAAGCGGAGGAGCAUGUGGUUUAAUUCGAUGAUACGCGAGGAACCUUACCCGGGCUUGAAAGUUAGUGAAGGAUGCAGAGACGCAUCCGUCCUUCGGGACACGAAACUAGGUGCUGCACGGCCGUCGACAACU
rnacentral:rRNA from 1 species